AGACCCGAAACCCGGUGAUCUAGCCAUGGGCAGGUUGAAGGUUGGGUAACACUAACUGGAGGACCGAACCGACUAAUGUUGAAAAAUUAGCGGAUGACCUGUGGCUGGGGGUGAAAGGCCAAUCAAACCGGGAGAUAGCUGGUUCUCCCCGAAAGCUAUUUAGGUAGCGCCUCGUGAAUUCAUCUCCGGGGGUAGAGCACUGUUUCGGCUAGGGGGCCAUCCCGGCUUACCAACCCGAUGCAAACUGCGAAUACCGGAGAAUGUUAUCACGGGAGACACACGGCGGGUGCUAACGUCCGUCGUGAAGAGGGAAACAACCCAGACCGCCAGCUAAGGUCCCAAAGUCAUGGUUAAGUGGGAAACGAUGUGGGAAGGCCCAGACAGCCAGGAUGUUGGCUUAGAAGCAGCCAUCAUUUAAAGAAAGCGUAAUAGCUCACUGGUCGAGUCGGCCUGCGCGGAAGAUGUAACGGGGCUAAACCAUGCACCGAAGCUGCGGCAGCGAACGUAUCACUUAAAGCGAUUCAGCGGGUUACGAUUGACGGAGCGAAGCGACGUCAAAGCGUAUACAAAGUCGAGUCGGUUUAAGGAUACGUUCGUUGGGUAGGGGAGCGUUCUGUAAGCCUGUGAAGGUGUGUCGUGAGGCAUGCUGGAGGUAUCAGAAGUGCGAAUGCUGACAUAAGUAACGAUAAAGCGGGUGAAAAGCCCGCUCGCCGGAAGACCAAGGGUUCCUGUCCAACGUUAAUCGGGGCAGGGUGAGUCGACCCCUAAGGCGAGGCCGAAAGGCGUAGUCGAUGGGAAACGGGUUAAUAUUCCCGUACUUGGUGUUACUGCGAAGGGGGGACGGAGAAGGCUAUGUUGGCCGGGCGACGGUUGUCCCGGUUUAAGCGUGUAGGCUGGUUUUCCAGGCAAAUCCGGAAAAUCAAGGCUGAGGCGUGAUGACGAGGCACUACGGUG
rnacentral:rRNA from 1 species